GACGAACGCUGGCGGCGUGCCUAAUACAUGCAAGUAGAACGCAGUUGCGAACGGGUGAGUAACGCGUAGGUAACUGCCUCAUAGCGGGGGAAAACUAUUGGAAACGAUAGCUAAUCCCGCAUACUGUGACAUGGACCUGCGUUGUAUUAGCUAGUUGGUGAGGUAAAGGGUCACCAAGGCGACGAUCCAUCGCCGACCUGAGAGGGAGAGCAGCCACACCGGGACUGAGAAAAGGCCCAGGACUCCUAGGGAAGGAGCAGUAGGGAAUGUUUGGAAAUGGACGGAAGUCUGACCGAGGAACGGCGCGGGAGUGAAGAAGGUCCUCGGAGCGUAAAGCUCUGUUGUGAGAGAAGCGGUAACUACAGAGAAAGGGACGGCUAACUACGUGCCAGCAGCCGCGGUAAUAC
rnacentral:rRNA from 1 species